UACAGAGGUCCCGAGCGUUGUUCGGAUUUACUGGGCGUAAAGGGUGCGUAGGUGGCGGGGUAAGUCUGGUGUGAAAGCUCCGAGCUCAACUCGGAAAAGCAUUGGAAACUAUCCCGCUGGAGGGUCGGAGGGGAGACUGGAAUUCUCGGUGUAGCAGUGAAAUGCGUAGAUAUCGAGAGGAACACCAGUGGCGAAGGCGAGUCUCUGGACGACUCCUGACACUGAGGCACGAAAGCUAGGGGAGCAAACAGG
rnacentral:rRNA from 1 species